rfam:Picea glauca, whole genome shotgun sequence.
UAUCUCAGAGCAAAAUAAGAUGUGUACAAUAGGUCUAGCAUCAGGUUACCCUAAAUUACCCAAUCCUGACAUGGGGAGGUAAUGACAAUAAAUAACAAUACUAGGCUUAUCGAGUCUGGUAAUUGGAAUGAGUACAAUCUAAAUCCCUUAACGAGGAUCCAUUGGAGGGCAAGUUUGGUGCCAGCAACUGCGGUAAUUCCAACUCCAAUAUUGUAUAUUUAAGUUGUUGCAGUUAAAAAUCUCAUAGUUGGAUCUUGGGUUGUAAAGGUCGGUCCGCCUACUCGAUGUGCACCUGCCCUUCUAUCCCUUUCUCCAAUGGCGUGCUCCUAGCCUUAAUUGGCUGGGUCACAGUUCCGACGUUGUUACUUUGAAAAAAUUAGAGUGCUCAAAGCAAGCUUAUGCUCUGAAUACAUUAGCAUGGAAUAACGCUAUAGGAGUCUGGUCCUAUUGUGUUGGCCUUCGGGACUAGAGUAAUGAUUAAUAGGGACUGUCGAGGGAAUUCAUAUUUCAUUGUCAGAGGUGAAAUUAUUGGAUUUAUGAAAGAUGAACCACUGCGAAAUAAUUUUCCAAGGAUGUUUUCAUUAAUCAAGAAUGAAAGUUGGGGGAUCGAAGACGAUCAUAUACCGUCCUAGUCUCAACCAUAAACGAUGUCGACCAGGGAUCGACGGAUGUUUCUCUAAGGACUCUGCCAACACCUUCUAAGAAAUCAAAGUGUUUGGGUUCCAGGGGGAGUAUGGUCGCAAGGAUGAAACUUAAAGGCCAUAUUAAAAAAUCUCUUGGUCGCCCAACCUCAGCCAAGCCGUAUUAAAA